rnacentral:lncRNA from 1 species
ACACAACAGUUUCUUUAACCACUCACCUGUUGAAGAACACCAGGGCCGAUUCCAGUUUCUGGCUAACGUGAAUCAAGCUACUAUGGACAUUUCUGUACAGCUCUCAAGCACUGAUAGGCUGAUAGCUUCCAAUUUUCUUAAAACCCCACUGGCUUCUCUGCAUAUUAGCAGUCACACCUCGGCACUCCAGAAUCUCUCUCAGCACCGUGGCGAGGUCAAUUCAACAAAUGUUUAUUGACUACUUACUAUAUGAGGCUAUUUCCAGGGUGUCUUACUGUCCAACCAUGAAAUCAGAGCCACCCGUGUGUUUAAUCUUACAACACAAGAAUGCCAGGACAAGAUUCUCGUCUCCUCCAUGAGCUUCUGCUCCUCCUCUUGCCCCAGAUAUCUGCCCUUUGACCUUCUCAGUUCCUUCCUGCUCUGCUCUGUAUGAGUAAAGGCCCAGGACUGCAACGUAAGUAAGAAUGUCCUCACCGUUUCGCACCCUGCCUUUUUCACUGCACAUCUGCAUCCAGAUGUGAGCACAGAGACCUUCCUCAUUCCUUCUCAGCUGGCUAAUCCCCUGUUGUGGGGUGGACUGUGGAGCUCCAAACUUCUAUUACCUUUCUUUGAGACCAUUUCAUUCCUCUGGGAACUGAUUUGCAAGGUUGUUCUGGAUAUCCUUUUUCCUCUGUUCCCAUUUGCAUUAUAUCUAGCAGAAAUUGUCAAACUUGGGUAUUUCUUUACUCUUUUCUUACAGCUUCCAUGGCUGAUGGUUACCCCCUCCCCACCCCUGUGCGUGUACAAUGACUAGGUCACUGCUGCGGGAAUGAGUUGAGACAGCUUGAUCUUUUUCAAGUCGCAAUAUUUUAAAAAGUAAAAAUU